rnacentral:rRNA from 1 species
UACAGAGGCCUCGAGCGUUAGGCGGAAUCACUGGGCUUAAAGCGUGUGUAGGCGGCCAUCUAAGUACCUUGUGAAAUCCCACGGCUCACCCGUGGAACUGCUUGGUAUACUGGUUGUCUUGAGCCUUCUAGGGGCGAGUGGAACAAAUGGUGGAGCGGUGAAAUGCGUAGAUAUCAUUUGGAACGCCAAUGGUGAAAACAACUCGCUGGGGAAGUGCUGACGCUGAGACACGAAAGCCAGGGGAGCGAACGGG